rnacentral:tRNA from 1 species
GCCCUGUUAGCUCAGUAGGCAGAUCACCAGACUCUUAAUCUGGCUGUCGCGGGUUCGAGCCCCGCACCGGGCU